AGUGAACGCUGGCGGUAGGCCUAACACAUGCAAGUCGAACGGCAGCACAGUAAGAGCUUGCUCUUACGGGUGGCGAGUGGCGGACGGGUGAGGAAUACAUCGGAAUCUACUUUUUCGUGGGGGAUAACGUAGGGAAACUUACGCUAAUACCGCAUACGACCUACGGGUGAAAGCAGGGGAUCUUCGGACCUUGCGCGAUUGAAUGAGCCGAUGUCGGAUUAGCUAGUUGGCGGGGUAAAGGCCCACCAAGGCGACGAUCCGUAGCUGGUCUGAGAGGAUGAUCGGCCACACUGGAACUGAGACACGGUCCAGACUCCUACGGGAGGCAGCAGUGGGGAACAUUGGGCAAUGGGCGCAAGCCUGAUCCAGCCAUACCGCGUGGGUGAAGAAGGCCUUCGGGUUGUAAAGCCCUUUUGUUGGGAAAGAAAAGCAGCAGGUUAAUACCCCGCUGUUCUGACGGUACCCAAAGAAUAAGCACCGGCUAACUUCGUG
rnacentral:rRNA from 1 species